rfam:Ectothiorhodospira sp. PHS-1 contig019, whole genome shotgun sequence.
GGCCAGGUAGCUCAGUUGGUAGAGCAGGGGAUUGAAAAUCCCCGUGUCGGCGGUUCGAUUCCGUCCCUGGCCA